UACGUAGGGUGCAAGCGUUAAUCGGAAUACUGGGCGUAAAGCGUGCGCAGGCGGUGAUGUAAGACAGGUGUGAAAUCCCCGGGCUUAACCUGGGAACUGCAUUUGUGACUGCAUCGCUGGAGUGCGGCAGAGGGGGAUGGAAUUCCGCGUGUAGCAGUGAAAUGCGUAGAUAUGCGGAGGAACACCGAUGGCGAAGGCAAUCCCCUGGGCCUGCACUGACGCUCAUGCACGAAAGCGUGGGAGCAAACAGG
rnacentral:rRNA from 1 species